GGGGCCAUGGUCUAGCCUGGUUAGGAUUCGCGGUUUGGGACCGUGCGGCCACAGUUCGAAUCUGUGUGGCCCCA
rnacentral:tRNA from 1 species